GAUGAACGCUGGCGGCGUGCCUAAUACAUGCAAGUCAAGCGAACGGACGAGAAGCUUGCUUCUCUGAUGUUAGCGGCGGACGGGUGAGUAACACGUGGAUAACCUACCUAUAAGACUGGGAUAACUUCGGGAAACCGGAGCUAAUACCGGAUGAUAUUUUGAACCGCAUGGUUCAAAAGUGAAAGACGGUCUUGCUGUCACUUAUAGAUGGAUCCGCGCUGCAUUAGCUAGUUGGUAAGGUAACGGCUUACCAAGGCAACGAUGCAUAGCCGACCUGAGAGGGUGAUCGGCCACACUGGAACUGAGACACGGUCCAGACUCCUACGGGAGGCAGCAGUAGGGAAUCUUCCGCAAUGGGCGAAAGCCUGACGGAGCAACGCCGCGUGAGUGAUGAAGGUCUUCGGAUCGUAAAACUCUGUUAUUAGGGAAGAACAUAUGUGUAAGUAACUGUGCACAUCUUGACGGUACCUAAUCAGAAAGCCACGGCUAACUACGU
rnacentral:rRNA from 1 species